rnacentral:rRNA from 1 species
UACGAGGGGAGCUAGCGUUGUUCGGAAUUACUGGGCGUAAAGGGCGCGUAGGCGGUUUUAUAAGUCAGAUGUGAAAGCCCCGGGCUUAACCUGGGAGGUGCAUUUGAAACUGUAAGGCUUGAGAUCGAGAGAGGAAAGUGGAAUUACGAGUGUAGAGGUGAAAUUCGUAGAUAUUCGUAAGAACACCAGUGGCGAAGGCGGCUUUCUGGCUCGAUACUGACGCUAAGGCGCGAAAGCGUGGGGAGCAAACAGG